rnacentral:lncRNA from 1 species
UUUUGGACCACAUAUGCACAAAUGAUCACCUUUUCAGUUGAACAAGCCUCCACCAUGGAAAGGAAUAUAGGGAAUUUUCAAAUCCCUGCAGGAUCUCUCACAGUCUUUUUUGUCGCCGCAAUCCUAAUCACUCUAGCUGUCAAUGAUCGAGUCAUCAUGCCCCUUUGGAAGAAAUUUAAGGGCAAACCAGGUAUAAAACAACUCGUGAUUUGUUAUACAUAUACAUUAUAACAUCAACUAUCGACUUAUUUAUCAACUUAUCAACAACUAAUAUUACUCACUUUUUACUAUGCAUGUAGAGUCAACUGAUAAUGCCAAAUUUGACUACAAAUAACUUACCAAAAGUUUAGACAAACGAGAUCGAAUCAAUCAAUCCUUGUUAUAAAAAGAAAUAAAAUAUUGCAUAUAGACGUAGAUUAUGUUAGUUUUCAGGGUUUGAACCUUGGAUCUCCAACUUAGCUGUCUGCUUUCUACAUGUCACAGGUUUCACCAACCUACAAAGGAUUGCCAUUGGACUUUUUUUGUCAAUAUUGGGUAUGAUGGCUGCUUCUCUAGGUGAAGUGAAACGGUUAUCAGUUGCAAAAGGCGCAAAAGGCAAUCAAACAACACUACCAAUAAGUGUUUUCCUUUUAG